GUGCUACCACCACAUGUGGAAACUCUUGCACUACUUCCUCUACAAGAACUUCGCCUUUACCGUGUUGCACGUCUGGUUGGCCUUCUCCUGUUGUUUUGUCAGCACAGGACGUUAGUGAACAGAAUAACCAGAGAUAUCCUAAGCUCUAUGAGCCAGGUCAGCAGAGGCUGCUCUUCAACAAGUGCCAGUUCCUCCUGUGCUCUCUCAAGGCAUCGGCACGUUCUUGUUCUGUUCUUCAUGCCGUACCUCACCCUCAGCCACUCUCUUAGGGUAGACGGAACCUCACUGAUCAUUGUGUUGAGCGUUCAGGUGCGCCAUCUGCAGGUGAGCAGGAAACAGAGCCCACUGAAGCAGAGUCGAGGGUCUACACGCAGGACUAGUUGACGGCAGUCUGCCACUGCCUUCUCCCACCAGGAGGGCUUUGGAGAGAAUCACCUCUGGGAGGACCAUGAGGGGCUCACUUUUCCUUUAUUUAACAUUUUGGCCGAAAUAAGAACAUUUCAGAAAAUCUUACAAAGAGGCGACUUUUUUAAGACACGUGAAUGUUAAUGUUUUUACUAAAAUUCCGUGUUUCCUUACGAAACAAAUUAAAUAUGGUUACCUUGUGUCUUUAACAUUUCAUGUCC